rnacentral:rRNA from 1 species
GACGAACGCUGGCGGCGUGCUUAACACAUGCAAGUCGAACGAAGAGCGAUGGAAGCUUGCUUCUAUCAAUCUUAGUGGCGAACGGGUGAGUAACGCGUAAUCAACCUGCCCUUCAGAGGGGGACAACAGUUGGAAACGACUGCUAAUACCGCAUACGAUCUAAUCUCGGCAUCGAGGAUAGAUGAAAGGUGGCCUCUACAUGUAAGCUAUCACUGAAGGAGGGGAUUGCGUCUGAUUAGCUAGUUGGAGGGGUAACGGCCCACCAAGGCGAUGAUCAGUAGCCCGUCUGAGAGGAUGAACGGCCACAUUGGGACUGGGACACGGCCCAGACUCCUACGGGAGGCAGCAGUGGGGAAUCUUCCGCAAUGGACGAAAGUCUGACGGAGCAACGCCGCGUGAGUGAUGACGGCCUUCGGGUUGUAAAGCUCUGUUAAUCGGGACGAAAGGCCUUCUUGCGAAUAGUGAGAAGGAUUGACGGUACCGGAAUAGAAAGCCACGGCUAACUACGUG